UACACUGCAUUUCGAGCCAAAGGUGGAGUAAGGAACAUGUGGGCAGCAUUAAUUCAUACAAGAGAAUGCUAAAAUACCAAGAGAAAUAUUGAAACGAAUCAAGAUAACAUGAAGACCGAAUAGCGGAAACCUGGGAUUUAAUUUCAAGCUAGCACCAGAAAAAAUGAGUGAGAGGGAAGCACCCUUCACCUCAAAAAGAAAAACAUUUUUAGUUCCGGUGAUAAGAAUGUCUGGUCCGGAAACAGGAGGACGGAUAUCGCCAGAAAUGAUAAGUUAAUGGCCACCUAAAAGAGAAAAGGGCCUACUUUCGAAAUUGAAACGAUUUUAACAUCUCAUCAUACAUCACAGGAAUGGUCCCUGCAGAUUCUAAUUUCCUCAAUGAAGUCACCGCGCAGCUGCCAUUUUACACGGAAGGGGAUCAUGAGCUGAUGACCAUUGAUCAGGCGUUCUGUUAUUAUUACUGUUAUUAAUUCUGCUUAGUUUCGAUUUCUUGGCUGUAAUUAACAUGUAUUGUGUGAUCAUUGAUCUGUAUUCAAGCUAUUGUAUUAAUGGACAAGAAGUAAAAACAAUCUUACCAAAUACUUGGGAGAGAGUCUUAAUGCCCCUAAUCAAUUUGUGAAUGCUACUGGAUAUGCAAGGCUUUGGAAGAGCCAGCAGGAAACCAAAUGUAUUGUUCUUCGUCUUUUCUUUACAAGAGCUUUCCUCCCCUUCUUGUCCUCCUUUAACAAAACAGAGAAAAGAGAGAGAAAAACAGUUAAAUGGUAAUUAAAUAGUCAUGAAAAAGGGUUCCAUACCUGAGAGAAGGGGAGGAGAGAAAUACUUGUUGCAUGUGAUUUGGUUUCGGGUUUUGGUUUCUUGCAGGAUUCACUGGAGGCCACAUCAACACUGGAGUGAGAAGCACAGGCGAUGGAGAAUGGAAGAACUAUAAAUCUUUCCAUAUGAUCCCGCAUAUCCUCCUUACAGGACAAAAUCAAACACAAAAUCUAAAAGGGAAUGCAGGCAUUCAGGAGUAGUGCCGGGAUCGAACAAGAACACGGAAA